UUUGAUUUCCUCAUUGCUGCUGCAACUUUUACCGUGUGCGAGUUCACUUUAAUCUCAUUGAAGAACACACCCCGACUACAUGACGUGAACAGUGCUGUGUGUCCAAGACAAUUUCCCCUGAGGAACAAUGAAGUAAAUCCUAUCCUACCUUAGCUAUGACAGAGAGGACUUCCUGCUCUUCGUGUUGGGAUCGUCUCUCCAGGUCUUCAGGGUGUGGAGCUCCGCCUGGGCGUUCACCAGCUCUGCCUUCACCCCCCUCAGCUGCUCAUGGAGACCUGGCAAGCAGUCUCAGCCUCCUGGAGCUCUGUCUUGGCCUGCUCCAUCUGACUGUGGCUCCAGCUGUUGAAUGCAGCUAUAGAACUCUUACAGAGA